UGGCGCACGUGAGCUUGCUGUCAGCUGAGAGAAAACGGGAUCCCAUCUGUCAGCUGACUCCACGUCUGACAGUUUCAGAGAGCAUGCUAGGAGUCAUCUGUUACUGGUUUUGUUUAAAAUGGUCACUUCGUCUCAGUAGCAUUUAUUGUUCUGCACAGGAUGAAGGUUGCAUGGUUCCAUUAUCCGAGGCAAGGACCUGCUUGAUGGUGUUGAUGAUCCCCCACUGACGCUGGAGCUCCAUGGUCUUGAGUCCCUCUCGGGGACCGUAGAGGACGCUCUCAGCCGUCAGGGAGGACAUCGGCAGCAACCUGUUUUGGGAGACAGAGGAAACAACAAGGCCCCAGACCCGCCUAGCCACGGUGCACUCCCAGAACAGAUGGUGAAUGUGUUCUGAGUCAGUGCAACCAUGGGGGCAGCGCUCAGUCAGGGCUAAGUGCCUGCG